rnacentral:pre_miRNA from 1 species
AGCACGAUUGCUGGAUUGUAUGGUGAGACUAAGUUUAACUUUGUAAGAAACUGCCAAACUGUCUUCCAAAGUGGCUGCAUCAUUUGCACUUCCAACAGCAAU